rnacentral:rRNA from 1 species
GUAGGUGGCAAGCGUUGUCCGGAAUUAUUGGGCGUAAAGCGCGCGCAGGCGGUUCUUUAAGUCUGAUGUGAAAGCCCACGGCCCAACCGUGGAGGGUCACUGGAAACUGGAGAACUUGAGUACAGAAGAGGAAAGCGGAAUUCCACGUGUAGCGGUGAAAUGCGUAGAGAUGUGGAGGAACACCAGUGGCGAAGGCGGCUUUCUGGUCUGUAACUGACGCUGAGGCGCGAAAGCGUGGGGAGCAAACAGGGAUUAGAUACCCUGGUAGUCCACGCCGUAAACGAUGAGUGCUAAGUGUUAGGGGGUUUCCCGCCCCUUAGUGCUGCAGCUAACGCAUUAAGCACUCCUCCUGGGGAGUACGGCCGCAAGGCUG